rnacentral:tRNA from 1 species
GGGGGUGGCUGUCUGUCAGCACCUGGCUAGAUCACAACAGACUGGUCUUCGGGUGCGCCUUGCACGGUGUGCUGCCCGCGGACGAGACCUAACACCGAGCUAAGCAUGUAGUGCCGGGGAUGGAGUGCUUCCGGACGCGGGUUCGACUCCCGCCACCUCCACCA